rnacentral:snoRNA from 1 species
UGGAAAUGAUGAAAUGGAGGUAAUAGGGAAUAGUAAGGGGUGUGUACAUUAGGGAAGGGGGGCAAAUUUUAGUCUGAGGUAAAAGUGGGGUUGGUUGUGUAAAAGUUAUAUAGUGAUGUAAACUGUGGGCACUGAUAAAGAAGCUGUUGAUUUCGCAGUGCAUCUGAGGCCUUGUUGCUAAAUCAUCUGGGUUUACUGCAACAUUGCCAGUGAUUAGAGCCCAAAAUAAGCUCGCAGUUUGCAUCUAGACAUUUUAAACCUCUAACAGGUUCCUUUUGUUAGGCAAAAGGAAUGUGAUCUGAUCCAA